GAGAUACUUCAGCCACGCGGCCACCACGUCCCGCGGCACCAGGUCAAUCUUAUUGAGGACGAGCACCAGGCGCUGCCGGCUCCCAGCUCUGCGCACGGCCGCUUCCAGCUGUGGGCUACGACAACCCUGCGGGUCCCGGGCGUCCAACACCUCCAACACCACAUCAGCAGCCUCCAACACCUUACGCAGCUCCCGCCCGUACUGCCGCAGCGACGCCUCUCCCUGCGCAUCCCCCCGGCUCGCCGCUGCCUCCUUUUUUUGCUCAAAAUCCCUCUGCCUCCGCAGAGCGUCCUCCUGCAGCCCCCCCAGGCUGCGCCGCUGCCCCACCGCCGCCUCCCGCGCCGCGUCCCGCCGCCGCCGCGCCUCAGCUGCCCUUUUCUGCCUCUUCUCGUUCUGCUGCUCCACGUGGGCGGCGAAGCGGCCCAACUGCGGCACCCCCGGGUCCUUCUUCCCCGCUGCCUUCACGGCUUUGCCCUGCAGCCGCCUCCCGCGGGCCGCCUCCCGCCGUCGCCGGGACCGGGUCAUG
rnacentral:lncRNA from 1 species